rnacentral:rRNA from 1 species
UACGUAGGGUGCGAGCGUUGUCCGGAAUUAUUGGGCGUAAAGAGCUCGUAGGCGGUUUGUCGCGUCGGCCGUGAAAUCUCCACGCUUAACGUGGAGCGUGCGGUCGAUACGGGCAGACUUGAGUUCGGUAGGGGAGACUGGAAUUCCUGGUGUAGCGGUGAAAUGCGCAGAUAUCAGGAGGAACACCGGUGGCGAAGGCGGGUCUCUGGGUUAACACUGACGCUCAGGCACGAAAGCGUGGGGAGCAAACAGG